UCGUUUUGCCGUUUCAGUCGCUCUAUAUAAACACUGUAAACCCAAACCCUAACUCUAGAACACUCUUUCCUAAAAAAUUUUGGUUUCUGAGUUCCAGUGUUCUUAAACCUAUUUUUAUUUCUCAAGCCCCAGGUCAAAUUCUAUGAUUCAUCUUGUUGUUCCGUUUUUCUUUAAAGACUGGUGAAAUCUGACUGUUCCUGUGAUGGUGUUAAAUAUACUUUGAGAUUGAUAUCUGUGAAGUUAAUCUAAUAUCUGAGGCAUAGUUUUUUUUUAUUAACAUGGUUAUAGUUGCUUUGCCUGCCUACAAAGUUCGGUAAAUACAUUAAAUAUUGUCAAUUUCCACAAUUUCAGCGGCAACGAGGCAGAUUAUCAAUAUUUUUGCUAUGAGUUCGAAGUUUCUCUCUGUUUUGUUAUUUCUUUUUUCUUUUUAUGUAGAACAUUUAUUCUUCGGGUUUUGUAUUUCGGUUAUUAUUAUUUUUUUGGGAUAAUGGCUUGGAAUUUUAGGUAUCUUAAUACUUUUCAGUUUUGUUAUUUGUUAUAUUUUCUUGAAUAUGUGGUGCUCAACAUAGAUGUUGGCUCACCUCUUUUUAUUUCUGGGUUCUGGAAAUCACAUUCCUUUCAUGGCAUAUGGACUACACUGCAGGUGAUGAUAAAACAGACAGGGACAUCUGUACUCCUUCGGAGGAGGAUGACUUGUUCUAAUGGGAAUCUCUCUGAUGCAGAGUAUUUGCACUCACUAACAUAUGUACUUUUUAAGAUAUAAGCAGUGUGUCUUGUUUUCCAAGUUCUGUUCUUAUUUCGUCUUUAAGUUGUAUGAAAUUUUUUAAUCGAACUAUAUGUUCUUGGUUUGGUUUGCGUUAAACUUUUUAACUGAUUGUCAGUGUUUAACUGAUUAUACUUCAACUUGAUUUGAGCGAUUGACAACAGAACAGAUGAAAAUCUAUUGUAUGUAGGGUUUUGUAUUACGGAAUGUUUUGUAUGCUGCAACCAUAAUCUAUUUGCUUGAUAUAAUAGCUUUAAACAUUUUAUGAUUCGCCAAUGAUGUAUUUGGAAUGCACGUAUUAUCAGAUAUGAUUGUGAUGAUAUCUAAUUGUCACUACCUCUGAGGCAAAGCUUACUCUAGAGCACAAAAUGCAAUUUUCUAUUGUUUUAUAUUCCCUACCUCCUUCUUCCCUCCCUCCCUCUCUCCACUGUUCUUUUUUUCCUCAAUAAUUGUUGUUUGUUGUUUAUACUUGACACCCCUUUUUUGGGUUCAUCUCGUUAUCUUUUUGCAUUCUCCUCUGAUCUUUCUUGUUUUCUCCAGUUGAUUAUGAUUCAUCUGUUUGUGAUCUUACCCAGCUUUUUUUAGAACAUUUUCAUGAUAUUAACUAUUCUUAAGAAUUGUCUUUGUAGACUGGUCGGUGAGCCCUUUUUCUGUUGCUAUUUAAAUUUUUAAAUGUCUAAUGCAUUUUAACACAAUUUAUUUUAAUUUUUGUUUCACUUUUUCAUUUUGCAUAUGGUGGGAUAUUUUCUUCUUCUUAUAUAUAAGUUCGUAAAAUUCAAAUUUUAAAAUUUAUUUUUCAAAUCAAGUUACACUAUAUUGAUAGUGUGUUUUGUAAAGGGUUUUAGAAUAGAGAUAUUCUAUCUGUAUAUAAACAAUUGGAAAAAAAAGGGACUAAUUACUGUACUAUGCAUGAAGCAGGGCAAGUAUAUGUAAAUUGAUUUAACACGGAUUUUCUAUUAGGUCAUUAGUCAUAUCAUCUUCAAUUGAAGAUGGUGAAAACUUUUUGUAUUGUUUUUCAAACCUUAUUGUUUGUAAGCAUUGCUGAGUUCUUGAAUUAAUUUUAGCUAGUGGUGCCAUAAAAAUGUGUUUGUGAAUAAUUGUUCAUGUAUGUGUGCUUGUGGAUAAUUUUUCGUGUCACAUCUUCGUCACAUCUUCAUUGUGGGUUCCUCUAUUUUAGGGUAAAAUAAAGAAAUUACAAAAAGAAAUAAAAAGAAAAUAUUACUUUAAUGGUUUUUCCAAAGUUAUACAUAAUCUACUUGGGAUCUAUAGUAACUAGGGGUUAUGUAAAAUAUCCAAAAUGCCAUUUGUAGUCAAAUUUUAACUAGAAAAAGUACAGAAGCUGAUGCUAAUACUCUUAAAAAGAUCACUUGAGGCCAUACCUAGAGAUUAUGGCAAGGAACACCGUUGCGGUCGGAAAUCACCACGUUGGUGAUAGAAUACCAGCAAGCCAGGUGGUGGUCAAGCUAGUUUAGGGGGUGAGCAAUAGUCAGUGUUGAGCAAGCUUUUCGUAGUGUGCACUGGUGAGGAUGGCUAGGAACAUUGUUGUGGUCACGAACUACCACUGACGAUAGAAGAUCAUGGCAAGAUUGAUGGUAGUCGGUGACGAUCUUGCUAGUGCAAGGAUGCCUGACUGGCUUUGGUGGACUUUUAGCAACACGCAUCCUCUACUCGUACUGUGCUCAAUGUGAACAGCUUUUGUGGUCUAGGAACCACCACAUUGGUGACAGAAAGCAUCAGUGAUUUUGGUUGAGGUCGGUGGUGUCCUUGCCAAUUCACGAACGUCGGUCGCUCGUCCUCAAACCUCACUGUACUAUAGCGGCGGUGGCUACAGGUCCUACAUCGAGUGCCUUUACGUGCAGUGUGCAUGUCAUGCACAGAUCAUGCUGCAUACACAAUCCCCUUUCUGUGUUCUUCCUACAUUUUUUUUUCUUUAUUUGCUACAGUAUUAAUAGAGUAUAUAACAAGAAAAUAGCAAGGUUGAGGGGGGUUUACCUGCUUUGACGAAGACAAUUUUGUGAGUAGGAGAAUAUCUUUCUUCUAAUUCCGAUAUAGAGAAUUAGUUGAAUCUUACCAAUGGUGUUAACUGUUAAUAUCAAAAAUUUGCACAUCAGGCAUAAAUGGAGGAAAAAGUCAUUUCGAUUCA